GACGAACGCUGGCGGCGUGCUUAACACAUGCAAGUCGAACGGAAAGGCCCUGCUUUUGUGGGGUGCUCGAGUGGCGAACGGGUGAGUAACACGUGAGUAACCUGCCCUUGACUUUGGGAUAACUUCAGGAAACUGGGGCUAAUACCGGAUAGGAGCUCCUGCUGCAUGGUGGGGGUUGGAAAGUUUCGGCGGUUGGGGAUGGACUCGCGGCUUAUCAGCUUGUUGGUGGGGUAGUGGCUUACCAAGGCUUUGACGGGUAGCCGGCCUGAGAGGGUGACCGGCCACAUUGGGACUGGGAUACGGCCCAGACUCCUACGGGAGGCAGCAGGGGGGAAUAUUGCACAAAGGGCGGAAGCCUGAUGCAGCAACGCCGCGGGCGGGAUGACGGCCUUCGGGUUGUAAACCGCUUUCGCCUGUGACGAAGCGUGAGUGACGGUAAUGGGUAAAGAAGCACCGGCUAACUACGGGC
rnacentral:rRNA from 1 species